GUGUUAUCGAAUUUGGUCAUCGAAUUUGGUCUGAUUUGGUGUAUGAAUUUGGUCUGAUUUGGUGUAUGAAUUUGGUCAUCGAAUUUGGUCAGCUUUUCUGUAUGAAUUUGGUCAUCGAAAUAUCCGAUUUGGACUUUUCUGUAUGAAUUUGGUCAUCGAAUUUCGACUGAAUUUGUUGCUGCUGCUGUAAAAACUAUCGGGUAUUUCGGGUACCCGAAUACCCGAAUCGGAUACCCGACUCGGGUAUUA
rnacentral:lncRNA from 1 species